rnacentral:rRNA from 1 species
AUGGUCCCCGUCCUCGACUACCUCGGCAAGAUUGGCGUCCGCCGCGACGAGCUCCCGCACCUGCUCCGCCGCCACCCGCAGGUGCUCCACGCCAGCAUCACCGUCGACCUUGCGCCCGUCGUUAAGUACCUUCAGGGGAUGGACGUCAAGCCCGGCGACAUGCCGCGCGUGCUCGAGCGCUACCUCGGCUGCAUGCUCGAGGGCACCAUGAGCACCUCCGUCGCCUACCUCGUCGGCAUUGGCGUCGCCAGGCGCCACGCUGAGCUGCUCACAAGUGAUCUUUAUUCAGCCGGCGCUGCCGCCAAGACGCCAUGGCGAUUGGCGAAGCCCCACUGA